rnacentral:rRNA from 1 species
AUAUUGCACAAUGGGCGCAAGCCUGAUGCAGCGACGCCGCGUGCGGGAUGGAGGCCUUCGGGUUGUAAACCGCUUUUGUUCAAGGGCAAGGCACGGUUUCGGCCGUGUUGAGUGGAUUGUUCGAAUAAGCACCGGCUAACUACGUGCCAGCAGCCGCGGUAAUACGUAGGGUGCGAGCGUUAUCCGGAUUUAUUGGGCGUAAAGGGCUCGUAGGCGGUUCGUCGCGUCCGGUGUGAAAGUCCAUCGCCUAACGGUGGAUCUGCGCCGGGUACGGGCGGGCUGGAGUGCGGUAGGGGAGACUGGAAUUCCCGGUGUAACGGUGGAAUGUGUAGAUAUCGGGAAGAACACCAAUGGCGAAGGCAGGUCUCUGGGCCGUCACUGACGCUGAGGCUCGAAAGCAUGGGUAGCGAACAGG